AGUGAACGCUGGCGGUAUGCCUAACACAUGCCAGUCGAACGGCAGCACAGUAAGAGCUUGCUCUUACGGGUGGCGAGUGGCGGACGGGGGCGUUAUACAUCGGAAUAUACUUUUUCGUGGUGGAUAACGUAGGGAAACUUUCGCUAAUACAGCAUACUACCUACGGGUGAGAGCAGGGGAUGUUCGGACCUUGCGCGGUGGAAUGGGCCGAUGUCGGGUGAGGUAGUUGGGGGGGUAAAGGCCCGACAAGGCGCCGAGCGGUAGCUGGUCCGAGAGGAUGACUAGCAACACUGGAACUGAGACAAGGCCCCGACUCCUACGGUAGGCCGCAGUGGGGAAUAUUGGACAAUGGGCGCAAGCCUAAUCCAGCCAUACCGCGUGGGUGAAGAAGGCCUUCGGGUGGUAAAGCCCUUUUGUUGGGAAAGAAAAGCAGCACGUUAAUACCCCGCUGUUCUGACGGUACCCAAAGAAUAAGCACCGGCUAACUUCGUG
rnacentral:rRNA from 1 species